rnacentral:rRNA from 1 species
GUAUUAUUGUAAAUUAAAUUUUAAUUUUAUUUUUAAUUAAAAUAUUAUUAAUAAAUUUAUAUUUAAGUAUAUUUAAGAAAAAAAUUUUGUAAUGAUAGUUUAUUAGUAAUGUAAAUGAAUUAAUUUAAAUUAAUAAUAAAGAAUUUUUUAUUUAAAGUACCUUUUGUAUCAGGGUUUAUUAAAUAAAUAAUUAAAAUUUAAUUAUUCUCGAAUUUAAAAGAUUUAAUUUAUUAUUUUUUAUAUUGUUGAAUAAAUAUAUAAAAUAGUAGAUUAGUAAUGAAAUGUUAUUCGUUUUUAAAUAUAUCUAGUUUUUUUAGAAAAAAAUUUAAUUUUAUUAUAAAUUAUUAUUUGAAUUAAAAUUUUAAUUUAAAUAUUGAUUUAUAAAAAAAUUUAUAGGGAUAAGCUUAUAAAUUAAAUUAUAUAUUUGUAAAAUAAAAUUAAUUAAAUUUAUGAUUAGAAAUUUCAAUAAUAUUAAUAAUUUUAUAAUUUAUAUAAAAAUAAAAUGAUUUUUAUUAAAAUUAAUUUAUAUAUAAAAAUAUUUAAUUUAAUUUAUUAAUUAAAUUAAUAAUGAUAAAAUUAGUAUAAAAAAUAUAUAAAGUAAUUUAUAUAAAAAUAUAAAUUAAAAAUAAGGAAUUCGGCAAUUUAAUUGCUCGCCUGUUUAUCAAAAACAUGGUUUUUUGUUUAUAAUUUAAAAUUUAAUCUGCCCACUGAUUUAUUAAAGGGCCGCAGUAUAUUGACUGUGCAAAGGUAGCAUAAUCAUUUGUUUCUUAAUUGUUGACUAGUAUGAAUGAUUGGACGAGGUAAUUACUGUCUCAUUUUUAUUGAAAUUAAAAGUUUAUUUUUAAGUUAAAAAGCUUAAAUGAAUUUUAAGGACGAGAAGACCCUAUAGAGUUUAAUUAAUUUAGUAAAAAUUUUUAUAAAUGGAUUUAAGUUAUUUUUAUAAAAAUUAAUUUAAUUGGGGUGAUUAAAAAAUUUAAUAAACUUUUUAAAUUAUUAUUCAAAAAAUUUUGUUUAUUUUUGAUCCAGAAUUUUUGAUUAUUUGAUUAAAUUACCUUAGGGAUAACAGCGUUAUUAUUUUGGAAAGUUCAUAUUUAUAAAAUAGUUUGCGACCUCGAUGUUGAAUUAAGAUAAAUUUUUGGUGCAGUAAUUAAAAUUUUUAGUCUGUUCGACUAUUAAAUUCUUACAUGAUUUGAGUUCAAACCGGUGUAAGCCAGGUUGGUUUCUAUCCUAAAUUAAAUAAAAUAUUUUAGUACGAAAGGACCAUAUAUUUAAUUAAUAAUUUAAUUAUGA